AUGAGUACUGGCAGGGGAAAUACCAUGAUCACAAAGGUGGUUUUCCCAGGGUGAGGUUCAUCCACUGCAAUUUCCCUGAAUGCGGGAAACUCGAUUGCAUAAUUUGUGGUAGUUGGGGACUGCAUUCGUGCUCUCCCCUG
rnacentral:snRNA from 1 species